CCUACGGGGAGCUGCAGUGGGGAAUAUUGGACAAUGGGCGAAAGCCUGAUCCAGCCAUGCCGCGUGUGUGAAGAAGGCCUUCGGGUUGUAAAGCACUUUCAGUGGGGAAGAAAGCCUUGGGGCUAAUACCCUCGAGGAAGGACAUCACCCACAGAAGAAGCACCGGCUAACUCCGUGCCAGCAGCCGCGGUAAUACGGAGGGUGCGAGCGAUAAUCGGAAUUACUGGGCGUAAAGCGCGCGUAGGCGGUCUGAUAAGCCGGUUGUGAAAGCCCCGGGCUCAACCUGGGAACGGCAUCCGGAACUGUCAGGCUAGAGUGCAGGAGAGGAAGGUAGAAUUCCCGGUGUAGCGGUGAAAUGCGUAGAGAUCGGGAGGAAUACCAGUGGCGAAGGCGGCCUUCUGGACUGACACUGACGCUGAGGUGCGAAAGCGUGGGUAGCAAACAGGAUUAGAUACCCGAGUAGUC
rnacentral:rRNA from 1 species